GACGAACGCUGGCGGCGUGCCUAACACAUGCAAGUGGAGCGACGAACCAGGGCUUGCCCUGGGGCAAAGCCGCGAACGGGUGAGUAACACGUGAGUAACCUGCCCCGAAGAUUGGGACAACCCGAGGAAACUCGGGCUAAUACCGAAUGAAUCCUCUGGACAUAAGUUCAGUGGGAAAAGGAAGCUUCGGCCUCCGCUUCGGGAGGGGCUCGCGGCCCAUUAGCUAGUUGGUGAGGUAACGGCUCACAAAGGCAACGAUGGGUAGCUGGUCUGAGAGGACGAUCAGCCACACUGGGACUGAGACACGGCCCAGACUCCUACGGGUGGCAG
rnacentral:rRNA from 1 species